CCUACGGGUGGCAGCAGUGAGGAAUAUUGGUCAAUGGUCGGGAGACUGAACCAGCCAAGCCGCGUGCGGGAUGAAGGUACAGAGUAUCGUAAACCUCUUUUGUCAGGGAACAAAGGCGGGGACGUGUCCCCGGAUGAGUGUACCUGAAGAAAAAGCAUCGGCUAACUCCGUGCCAGCAGCCGCGAUAAUCCGGAGGAUGCGAGCGUUAUCCGGAUUUGUGGGGUUUAAGGUGUGCGCGGGCGGUCUGUUAAGUCAGCGGUCAAAGCCCGGGGCUCAACCCCGGCCCGCCGUUGAAACUGGCAGGCGCGAGGUGGAGAGAGGUAUGUGGAAUGUGGGGUGUAGCGGUGAAAUGCAUAGAUAUCGCGCAGAACUCCGAUUGCGAAGGCAGCAUGCCGGCUCCACACUGACGCUGAGGCACGAAAGCGUGGGUAUCGAACAGGAUUAGAUACCCUAGUAGUC
rnacentral:rRNA from 1 species